rnacentral:snoRNA from 1 species
AAUACCAUGAUGAGGACAUUUUCUGAUUAAUUCUUUAAAUCUCUCCCAUGCAUCAUACAAAGAUUCAUCAUCCUGCUGUUGAAAAGAAUUGAUCUCAUUCCGGAUAUU